AAAAAAAAAGAGAGAGAGAGAGAGAGAGAGAGGAGAGCAUGAUUUGGGUCAAUAAGCGCCAUAGGCAUCAAAGGGUGUGAUGCAGGUAUUUGCUACGGGCUUUCGGAGGAGCAGGAAGGGGACUCUGGAGGCAGGCGAGGUGGGAGAGGCAAAGCCACCUGGGGGGAGUGGCGGGGUUCCUGCUAGGGUAGUAGGAGGCAAGGUCGAGGAUGGAGGCAAUGCUGCUCAGAUCCCGGUCACCAGCAGGUGCACCUGCUCCCCAGAGCUGUGAGUGGCGGCUGCUGCCGGCCCAUGGCUGUGGGCUUCUCAGGAGAAUUCCCUUUGGCUGACAGGAGCCACCUGGUCAUCACACUCCCCAGGGAGCGAGUGGCAGCCAAGGGUGAUGUGGUAGAGGGUUACAAAGGCCGCCCCCUUGCGUCAAGGUGGAGCAGCCCUGGGGUGUCAUUCACCCUCCAGAGCUCCCAGGGAUCAGACUGAGGUCAGGCUUGAGCCCAAACCAGCUCUGCUUGGCUUCUUCACCUGCCCUAUCCUGCUUCCCGUCUUGCUCACCAAUUUCCAUCCAGAAGCUUCUCUGUCAAUGCAUCAAGUGCACAAAAACCCCAGUCUCACAUUCAGCCUCUGAGGAACUCCCCGGCUAGGGCUGGCCCAAGGCAGAGUUAAGGGCCCUUGGAUGCUAGAAGGCUGGGUUUGUAGGACACCCGGCAACUUCAGCCUCUUCCCACCUAUGCCACUUUAAAAGUUCAGCAAGUUAGAACUUUUUCCUGGGUGCCUGCCCCACACAGGAGAAUUUCCACUGGAUUUGUUCAUGGCACUGAAGUGCUUUGGUUUAGCUAAAGUACAGUAGCAGCAGGAAUUCCCGUCCUGGCGCAAUGGCUAGGAACCAUGAGGUUGCGGGUUUAAUCCCUGGCCUCGCUCAGUGGGUUGAGGAUCUGGCGUUGCUGUGAGCUGUGGUGUAGGUUGCAGACGCAGCUCAGAUGUGGUGUUGCUGUGGCUCUGGCGUAGGCUGGUGGCUACAGCUCCAAUUAAGACCCCUAGCCUGGGAAUCUCCAUAUGCCGUGGGAGCGGCCCUAGAAAAAGCAAAAAGACAAAAAUAAAACAAAAUAAAAAUAAAGAACA
rnacentral:lncRNA from 1 species